rnacentral:ncRNA from 1 species
UAACUGAUCCUCGCGUCAGGUUCCCCGGUAACGGGGAUGAAAAGGGAACUCGGGUGAAAAUCCCGGACUGCCCCCGCAACUGUAAGCGGCGAGCCCGCACGUCAUAUGUCACUGGACGAGGACUUUCAUAGUCCAAGUCCGGGAAGGCGAUGUGCAAGGGGUGUUGACCUGCAAGCCAGGAGACCUGCCCGGCGCAAUCGUCCUUC